rnacentral:rRNA from 1 species
UACGUAGGUGGCAAGCGUUGUCCGGAUUUAUUGGGUUUAAAGGGUGCGUAGGCGGCUUUGUAAGUCAGUGGUGAAAUAUGGCAGCUUAACUGUCAAGGUGCCAUUGAUACUGCGGAGCUUGAGUACAGAUGAGGUAGGCGGAAUUGACGGUGUAGCGGUGAAAUGCUUAGAUAUCGAUCAAGAACACCUAUAGCGAAGGCAGCUUACUAGGCUGUAACUGACGCUGAGGCACGAAAGUGUGGGGAUCAAACAGG